rnacentral:misc_RNA from 1 species
UUUACGCUUGCGUGAGGGAUAGAAGUGGAAAGCCCACAGCCUGAUGAAGGAAGAGCGAGGACUUGCAACGGAUAGCCCGGCCCGGA